AGAGUUUGAUCCUGGCUCAGGACGAACGCUGGCGGCGUGCCUAAUACAUGCAAGUCGAACGAAACUUUCUUACACCGAAUGCUUGCAUUCACCGUAAGAAGUUGAGUGGCGGACGGGUGAGUAACACGUGGGUAACCUGCCUAAAAGAAGGGGAUAACACUUGGAAACAGGUGCUAAUACCGUAUAUCUCUAAGGAUCGCAUGAUCCUUAGAUGAAAGAUGGUUCUGCUAUCGCUUUUAGAUGGACCCGCGGCGUAUUAACUAGUUGGUGGGGUAACGGCCUACCAAGGUGAUGAUACGUAGCCGAACUGAGAGGUUGAUCGGCCACAUUGGGACUGAGACACGGCCCAAACUCCUACGGGAGGCAGCAGUAGGGAAUCUUCCACAAUGGACGCAAGUCUGAUGGAGCAACGCCGCGUGAGUGAAGAAGGUCUUCGGAUCGUAAAACUCUGUUGUUAGAGAAGAACACGAGUGAGAGUAACUGUUCAUUCGAUGACGGUAUCUAACCAGCAAGUCACGGCUAACUACGUGCCAGCAGCCGCGGUAAUACGUAGGUGGCAAGCGUUGUCCGGAAUUAUUGGGCGUAAAGCGCGCGCAGGCGGAUUGGUCAGUCUGUCUUAAAAGUUCGGGGCUUAACCCCGUGAUGGGAUGGAAACUGCCAAUCUAGAGUAUCGGAGAGGAAAGUGGAAUUCCUAGUGUAGCGGUGAAAUGCGUAGAUAUUAGGAAGAACACCAGUGGCGAAGGCGACUUUCUGGACGAAAACUGACGCUGAGGCGCGAAAGCCAGGGGAGCGAACGGGAUUAGAUACCCCGGUAGUCCUGGCCGUAAACGAUGGGUACUAGGUGUAGGAGGUAUCGACCCCUUCUGUGCCGGAGUUAACGCAAUAAGUACCCCGCCUGGGGAGUACGACCGCAAGGUUGAAACUCAAAGGAAUUGACGGGGGCCCGCAC
rnacentral:rRNA from 1 species